CAUAACCCAAGAACCAGUUUUAAACAGAAAUUCAAUGUCUUUGGAUAUUUUGCCUUUUCAUUAUGGAAUUUCUAAUGAUAUUUACCCAACUCAAAGAUGCCAUUUCUCAGAACCAGAAAAAACAUCAGUAAGAGAACAAAAUUGUAAACAGGCGGGCUACAAGAAUGUCAAUUCAUAAGCCAAUUCUGAACAAAAACAGUACAAGCUAAUAGUCAUCGGCUGCAAAAACAGGUUCUGACAAAUUGUGGUUUUUGUAACAGGACCACAUAAACAGUUUUUCUUUACUUUAAUCUGUGACCAAGACACAAUUAUUGAGG